rnacentral:snoRNA from 2 species
CCCUUCUCAGGAUGGCAACUGGAGAGUUUCCAGUACUCUACCAGUCUCAGCUACUGGAGGGAGAGUCGAGCAGAGGCCUAACCAUUCCAUUCCUAGCUUGGGCAGUGGCUAGCGAGUGGAGGGCAAUCAGUUACAAGU